rnacentral:rRNA from 1 species
UACGAAGGGGGCUAGCGUUGCUCGGAAUCACUGGGCGUAAAGGGUGCGUAGGCGGGUCUUUAAGUCAGGGGUGAAAGCCUGGAGCUCAACUCCAGAACUGCCUUUGAUACUGAAGAUCUUGAGUUCGGGAGAGGUGAGUGGAACUGCGAGUGUAGAGGUGAAAUUCGUAGAUAUUCGCAAGAACACCAGUGGCGAAGGCGGCUCACUGGCCCGAUACUGACGCUGAGGCACGAAAGCGUGGGGAGCAAACAGG